rnacentral:rRNA from 1 species
GACGAACGCUGGCGGCGUGCUUAACACAUGCAAGUCGAACGGCAAGGCCCUACUUUUUUGGUGUUCUCGAUUGCCGAUCGCGUGCGUAACACGUGAGUAUCCUGCUCUUCUCUUUCGUAUAACUUCAGGUAACUGGAGCUACUCUCGUAUAGCAUCUCCUCUUCCGUUGUGGGGAUUGGAUCUUCUCGGCGGUUGGGGAUGGACUCGCGGCUUAUCAGCUUGUUGGUUGGGUAGUGGCUUACCAAGGCUUUGAAGGGUAGCCGGCAUGAGAGGGUGAACAGGGACAUGGGGACUGAGAGACGGAGCAGACUCGAACGGGAGGCAGCAGGGGGGAAUAUUGCACAAUGGGCGGAAGCCGGAGGAAGAAACGUCGGGGGCGGGAUGACGGCCUUUGGGGUGUAAACAGCUGUAGGUUGUGACGAAGCGGGAGUGACGGUAAUGGGUAAAGAAGCACCGGCUAACUACGUG